rnacentral:rRNA from 1 species
GACAGAGGGUGCAAACGUUGUUCGGAAUUACUGGGCGUAAAGCGCGUGUAGGCUGCUCCGUAAGUCAGGUGUGAAAGCCCCGGGCUCAACCUGGGAAGUGCACUUGAAACCUCGGAGCUUGAAUGCCGGAGAGGGUAGCGGAAUUCUCGGUGUAGAGGUGAAAUUCGUAGAUAUCGAGAGGAACACCGGUGGCGAAGGCGGCUACCUGGACGGCUAUUGACGCUGAGACGCGAAAGCGUGGGGAGCAAACAGG